ensembl:snoRNA small nucleolar RNA SNORD49
UGCUCUGAUCAAAUCAUGAUUAGGAAGUGACAUCAGCAGGGAUCACUGACGAUAAUUCCUGGCCGAUA